rnacentral:rRNA from 1 species
UCCUGGCUUAGGACGAACGCUGGCGGCGUGCUUAAUACAUGCAAGUUGAGCGGAGCUAAUAGUGAGUUACUUAUUAUUAGUCGAGCAGCGGACGGGUGAGUAACGCGUGGGCAAUCUGCCCUCUAGUUUGGGAUAACAGUUCGAAAGGACUGCUAACACCGAAUAAUCUUAAAUUUGGGCAUCUAAAUUUAAGGAGAGUUAACGCUAGAGGAUGAGCCCGCGUCCCAUUAGCUAGUUGGUGAGGUAACGGCCCACCAAGGCAACGAUGGGUAGCCGACCUGAGAGGGUGACCGGCCACACUGGGACUGAGACACGGCCCAGACUCCUACGGGAGGCAGCAGUAGGGAAUUUUCCGCAAUGGACGAAAAAGUCUGACGGAGCAACGCCGCGUGAGGGAUGAAGGUUUUCGGAUCGUAAACCUCUGUCCUUGGGGAAGACAAUGACGGUACCCAAGGAGGAAGCCACGGCUAACUACGUGCCAGCAGCAGC